rnacentral:rRNA from 1 species
AAUAGAUACCCCGGUAGUCCAUGCCGUAAACGUUGGGAACUAGAUGUGGGGACCAUUCCACGGUCUCCGUGUCGCAGCUAACGCAUUAAGUUCCCCGCCUGGGGAGUACGGCCGCAAGGCUAAAACUCAAAGGAAUUGACGGGGGCCCGCACAAGCGGCGGAGCAUGCGGAUUAAUUCGAUGCAACGCGAAGAACCUUACCAAGGCUUGACAUAUACCGGAAAGGUCUGGAAACAGUCCCCCCGCAAGGUCGGUAUACAGGUGGUGCAUGGUUGUCGUCAGCUCGUGUCGUGAGAUGUUGGGUUAAGUCCCGCAACGAGCGCAACCCUCGUCUUAUGUUGCCAGCGGUUCGGCCGGGGACUCAUAGGAGACUGCCGGGGCCAACUCGGAGGAAGGUGGGGAUGAGGUCAAAUCAUCAUGCCCCUUAUGUCUUGGGCUUCACGCAUGCUACAAUGGCCGGUACAAAGGGCUGCAAUACCGCGAGGUGGAGCGAAUCCCAAAAAGCCGGUCUCAGUUCGGAUUGAGGUCUGCAACUCGACCCAUG